rnacentral:tRNA from 1 species
GGGGAUGUGGCUCAAUAGCAGAGCAUUUGCCUGGCAUGUGUGAGGCCUUGGGUUCAAAUCCCAGCACCAACA